rnacentral:rRNA from 1 species
UACAGAGGUCUCAAGCGUUGUUCGGAUUCAUUGGGCGUAAAGGGAGCGUAGGUGGCGGAGCAAGUCAGGUGUGAAAUCUCGGGGCUCAACCCCGAAACUGCACUUGAUACUGCUUUGCUAGAGUACUGGAGAGGAGAUUGGAAUUUACGGUGUAGCAGUGAAAUGCGUAGAUAUCGUAAGGAAGACCAGUGGCGAAGGCGAAUCUCUGGACAGUUACUGACACUGAGGCUCGAAGGCCAGGGGAGCAAACGGG